GACGAACGCUGGCGGCGCGCCUAACACAUGCAAGUCGAACGAGCGAGAGAGAGCUUGCUUUCUCAAGCGAGUGGCGAACGGGUGAGUAACGCGUGAGGAACCUGCCUCAAAGAGGGGGACAACAGUUGGAAACGACUGCUAAUACCGCAUAAGCCCACGACCCGGCAUCGGGUAGAGGGAAAGGAGCAAUCCGCUUUGAGAUGGCCUCGCGUCCGAUUAGCUAGUUGGUGAGGUAAUGGCCCACCAAGGCGACGAUCGGUAGCCGGACUGAGAGGUUGAACGGCCACAUUGGGACUGAGACACGGCCCAGACUCCUACGGGAGGCAGCAGUGGGGAAUAUUGCACAAUGGGGGAAACCCGUGAUGCAGCGACGCCGCGUGGAGGAAGAAGGUCUUCGGAUUGUAAACUCCUGUU
rnacentral:rRNA from 1 species